rnacentral:rRNA from 1 species
AGGGGUAACAGGAGUAGCUUGCUAUUUGCUGACGACCGGCGCACGGGUGCGUAACGCGUAUAGAAUCUACCUUAUACUGGGGGAUAGCCUUUGGAAACGAAGAUUAAUACCCCAUAGUAUGUUUGAAUGGCAUCAUUUGGACAUUAAAGUUUUGGCGGUAUAAGAUGACUAUGCGUUCUAUUAGUUAGUUGGCAAGGUAACGGCUUACCAAGACUACGAUAGAUAGGGGUCCUGAGAGGGAGAUCCCCCACACUGGUACUGAGACACGGACCAGACUCCUACGGGAGGCAGCAGUGAGGAAUAUUGGACAAUGGAGGCAACUCUGAUCCAGCCAUGCCGCGUGUAGGAAGACUGCCCUAUGGGUUGUAAACUACUUUUAUAUGGGAAGAAUAAGGUCUACGUGUGGACUGAUGACGGUACCAUAAGAAUAAGCACCGGCUAACUCCGUGCCAGCAGCCGCGGUAAUACGGAGGGUGCAAGCGUUAUCCGGAAUCAUUGGGUUUAAAGGGUCCGUAGGCGGGCAUAUAAGUCAGUGGUGAAAGUCUGUGGCUCAACCAUAGAAUUGCCAUUGAUACUGUAUGUCUUGAAUUAUUGUGAAGUGGUUAGAAUAUGUAGUGUAGCGGUGAAAUGCUUAGAGAUUACAUAGAAUACCGAUUGCGAAGGCAGAUCACUAACAAUAUAUGACGCUGAUGGACGAAAGCGUAGGUAGCGAACAGGAUUAGAUACCUGGUAGUCUACGCCGUAAACGAUGGAUACUAGUUGUUUGGCCUUCGGGCUGAGUGACUAAGCGAAAGUGAUAAGUAUCCCACCUGGGGAGUACGUUCGCAAGAAUGAAACUCAAAGGAAUUGACGGGGGCCCGCACAAGCGGUGGAGCAUGUGGUUUAAUUCGAUGAUACGCGAGGAACCUUACCAGGGCUUAAAUGUAGUCUGACAGCUCUAGAGAUAGAGUUUUCUUCGGACAGAUUACAAGGUGCUGCAUGGUUGUCGUCAGCUCGUGCCGUGAGGUGUCAGGUUAAGUCCUAUAACGAGCGCAACCCCUGUGGUUAGUUGCCAGCGAGUAAUGUCGGGAACUCUAGCCAGACUGCCGGUGCAAACCGUGAGGAAGGUGGGGAUGACGUCAAAUCAUCACGGCCCUUACGUCCUGGGCCACACACGUGCUACAAUGGUAGGGACAGAGAGCAGCCACUUAGCGAUAAGGAGCGAAUCUAUAAACCCUAUCUCAGUUCGGAUUGGAGUCUGCAACUCGACUCCAUGAAGCUGGAAUCGCUAGUAAUCGGAUAUCAGCCAUGAUCCGGUGAAUACGUUCCCGGGCCUUGUACACACCGCCCGUCAAGCCAUGGAAGCUGGGGGUACCUGAAGUC